CUCCCCUUUUGUCAAAUAAUUGAAUACUUUUGAAUGCCGAUUGCUUUUCCUUCCCUGUAAUACAAAGCAUAUUCCAAAGAACAUCAUCUGGUAGUCUGGUUGUGGUUUCCUUGCCAUGCAUGACGAUCAAUUUUCUUUUAUUUUCUCCAUCUCACAUCCCCCCCCCCACAAAUUAAGCAUAGUUUGCUGCUUCAGUUCAUCCAUAUUCAAAUAAGUUCCACUUUGUAAUUAAGUAAAGGCAAUAUCCUAGCCUAUUUCGACCUUAACUGUUUGUUUUGAAGUAGGGAAAAUGUUUUUAAAAAUCACAAAGUUUGUUCCAAAAUUCAAAUUUUUUGUUGAUAACAAUUCAGUUGGCACAAGAAUAAAAAACAACUGAAGAACACAACCCUCCUAUAAGUCAGUACUGUAUAGAACUGCCUUGUUCCUUAACAAAUCCAUUUUAUUUGUGUCCAGGAAUAAUCAAACUCAUGUAUUAAGAGUGUGCUGGGAUAAAUAAGACAGGACUAUUAAACAACGAGGCAGUUCUAACAGUGCUAAUUUUAAAAGUAUUGUAUACUUCAAUUGAUCACUAAUUGCUUUUUCUAAGAUUCAAUAUUUGAAGACUCAAAUAACAUGCAGAAUCAACAUUGAAAGAAACAUUGUGAUUUUCAGAUAAACUUUCCAAACUUUCAACAAACAAUGAAAGUCCACUUAAACAAGAGAAGAUUGAGAUGGAACAUAAGUUACUGUUUUCACAAUGCACAAUGCAGGUCGAUAAGUUCAAAACACAAAGUACAAUGAGACAAAUGUUAAUGACUUAAUUAAUGUUCUUUUAAUCCUUUAAAGGAAACAUACUCCAAAUUAAUACCGAAACAUGAAAGAGGACUAAAAUAAAAUCCUGAAUUAAAACUAAUAAAGUCACAUGUCUUAUUUGUAAGUAACCGUUUUUGGUUUCUUAUAAAAACCACCUCAAUCUUCUCAAUGUUUAAC
rnacentral:lncRNA from 1 species